AUCAUUCUAUAAAAAUCAUGAACUAUGAUCCAUCUCUCUUGACCCAGUCGCAGGAUCCCGUAGCCUUAGAAAUGGCUGCAUAUGAUCAAGAGGAUCCCUCAUACAUGAGCAAGGAAGACUUCGGAAUUAUAACUACCACUCAAGAAGGAAUUCUGAAUACCAUGCAAGUCAUGAGCAAUGAAAUUGCUAAUCAUACCGACGUCAUCUUGAAAAAACUUCAAAAAGGAAUUCUGGAUAUCCUCGAAGUCAUGACCAGUGAAAUUAGUACUCAUACUGAUCUCAUCUUGAAAAAAAUUCAAGAAAUACAGCAAAAAAAAGGAGGAAUGACUACCGUUUAUAAAUGCUAUACCUGCGGAGAGGAAGGACACUUUUCACCCGAAUGCCCUCACAAAGAAGAAUACCAAAAGAAAAAAAAAAAAACUAACAGCGCCGAAGAAAUCAAACCAAAAUUUACCUGCUUCACUUGCGGAGAACAAGGACAUUAUUCUACCAACUGUCCUGAAAAAGAAAACGUAAAACCAGCACCAACUAAAUCCAACGAAUGCUUCAAUUGCGGGGAAGAAGGACACUGGGCUAAUAAAUGCCCACACGAAAAACAGAAAAAGAAAACAACAGCACAAAAAGAAGCGCUUGCUAUACUUGCGGAGAAACAGGCCAUUGGACCAAGGACUGCCCAAAAAUCGAAGAAGUCAUUCAAACUUCCGAUAUUGAAGAUAAUGAACCACCCAAGAAAAUCAAAAAAGAGAGAAAAAAACCAACCAAAAAACCUAAAAAAGAAGACUGGGACGAGGAAAUGAAAAUCGAACAAAAAAUACCGGGACGAAUGAAGAGAAUCAACAAUCAAAACAUGUUCGUGGAGGAACCCGACCUCGAUUAAAAACCGAAAUCCGUGAAAGAAAAGGAUUAUUUCUUCAAUGUAAAUACGUUUAAUAACUUUAACUUUAACCAUUUAUCAUUAUUUUCUUGUUCUAAUUGCAUGUUUUCAUUCAAUAAAUUCGUUUUCACUUU
rnacentral:misc_RNA from 1 species